rnacentral:lncRNA from 1 species
CUAAUCAUUAUAUUCAAUGGCCUUUUGGAGAAAGAAAAAUGGCACCCAAAAAAUUCAUCCUUCUGUCCUUUCACUAUCCAUGGGAUCAGAUAAUUAUCGAAUUUUUCGAGGUCGGGAUCGAGAAUAUUUGCAAGCAAGAAGGGCAUUUCUCAGCAGUUAUCAGCUUAGUGAAAGCAACAGGUUGAAGAAGAAGAUAAAGAGGUUUUUAGAAGGGGCUAGGGAGACAGCCAUGGCUGCAGUUGCAAAGAGAAAGAAGAUUACUGGAAUUAGGGCUUACAAGUUUACACUGACUUGGCCAACUGAAUUUGUUAUAAGAUGCUUUGUUCCAGGAAGGAGAUAAUUCUCAGGUGAAUUAUUGAAUAUUUAUAUAAAUAGACAGGAAUUAUAAUAUAUACAUGCAUAUUUAUGUAUACAUUUAUGUAUGCUUGUUAUUUUAUUUAUAAGAAAAGAAUUGAUAUAUUUCUACCUUUUAUAUAUAUAUAAAGGGUUAUAUUAUGAUAUUGUGUGAGACUUAUAUAUGUUGAGUGCGUG